rnacentral:rRNA from 1 species
GACAGAGGAUGCAAGCGUUAUCCGGAAUGAUUGGGCGUAAAGCGUCUGUAGGUGGCUUUUUAAGUCUGCCGUCAAAUCCUAGGGCUUAACCCUGGACAGGCGGUGGAAACUACCAAGCUGGAGUACGGUAGGGGCAGGGGGAAUUCCCGGUGUAGCGGUGAAAUGCGCAGAUAUCGGGAGGAACACCGGCGGCGAAGGCGGCACUCUGGGCCGGUACUGACGCUGAGGAGCGAAAGCGUGGGUAGCAAACAGG